CUGUAUAAGAAGCACCGGCUACUACGUGCCAGCAGCCGCGGUAAUACGUAGGGUGCGAGCGUGUCCGGAAUUACUGGGCGUAAAGAGCUCGUAGGUGGUUUGUCGCGUCGUCUGUGAAAUUCCGGGGCUUAACUCCGGGCGUGCAGGCGAUACGGGCAUAACUUGAGUGCUGUAGGGGAGACUGGAAUUCCUGGUGUAGCGGUGGAAUGCGCAGAUAUCAGGAGGAACACCGAUGGCGAAGGCAGGUCUCUGGGCAGUAACUGACGCUGAGGAGCGAAAGCAUGGGGAGCGAACAGGAUUAGAUACCCUGGUAGUCCAUGCCGUAAACGGUGGGCGCUAGGUGUGAGGGUCUUCCACGACUUUCGUGCCGUAGCUAACGCAUUAAGCGCCCCGCCUGGGGAGUACGGCCGCAAGGCUAAAACUCAAAGGAAUUGACGGGGGCCCGCACAAGCGGCGGAGCAUGUGGAUUAAUUCGAUGCAACGCGAAGAACCUUACCUGGGCUUGACAUAUACAAGAUCGGCGUAGAGAUACGUUUUCCCUUGUGGUUUGUAUACAGGUGGUGCAUGGUUGUCGUCAGCUCGUGUCGUGAGAUGUUGGGUUAAGUCCCGCAACGAGCGCAACCCUUGUCUUAUGUUGCCAGCACGUGAUGGUGGGGACUCAUGAGAGACUGCCGGGGUUAACUCGGAGGAAGGUGGGGAUGACGUCAAAUCAUCAUGCCCCUUAUGUCCAGGGCUUCACACAUGCUACAAUGGUCGGUACAACGCGUUGCGAGCCUGUGAGGGUGAGCGAAUCGCUGAAAGCCGGCCUCAGUUCGGAUUGGGGUCUGCAACUCGACCCCAUGAAGUCGGAGUCGCUAGUAAUCGCAGAUCAGCAACGCUGCGGUGAAUACGUUCCCGGGCCUUGUACACACCGCCCGUCACGUCAUGAAAGUUGGUAACACCCGAAGCCCAUGGCCCAACCAGUUUCUGGGGGGAG
rnacentral:rRNA from 1 species